GACGUAGGGCGCGAGCGUUGUCCGGAUUUAUUGGGCGUAAAGAGCUCGUAGGCGGCUUGUCGCGUCGAAUGUGAAAACUCGGGGCUCAACUCCGAGUUUGCAUUCGAUACGGGCAGGCUAGAGUUCGGUAGGGGAGACUGGAAUUCCUGGUGUAGCGGUGAAAUGCGCAGAUAUCAGGAGGAACACCGGUGGCGAAGGCGGGUCUCUGGGCCGAUACUGACGCUGAGGAGCGAAAGCGUGGGGAGCGAACAGG
rnacentral:rRNA from 1 species